AUCGAACGCUGGCGGCAUGCCUAACACAUGCAAGUCGAACGAGUGGCGGAGGGGUGAGUAAUGUCUGGGAAACUGCCCGAUGGACGGGGAUAAGGGCUGGAAACGGUGGCAAAUACCGCAUACCAUCGGAUGUGCCCAGAUGGGAUUAGCUAGUAGGUGGGGUAACGGCUCACCUAGGCGACGAUCCCUAGCUGGUCUGAGAGGGUGACCGGCCACACUGGAACUGAGACACGGUCCAGACUCCUACGGGAGGCAGCAGUGGGGAAUAUUGGACAAUGGGCGCAAGCCUGAUGCAGCCAUGCCGCGUGUAUGAAGAAGGCCUUCGGGUUGUAAAGUUCUUUCAGCGAGGAGGCGUUACUCGCAGAAGAAGCACCGGCUAACUCCGUGCCAGCAGCCGCGGUAAUUC
rnacentral:rRNA from 1 species